UCACUUUGAAAGCCAGUAGUCUGUUGGCAGGUGAGCUGUAAACCAGGUGAAUUCUAAUCAAGCCUACAGCACAAUCCAGGAUGAUUUAAGAUACAUCUGCUGCCACUGUGCAGGUGAACUGCAUCACAAGUCUUGUGGAAGAUGGGGCUCCUACACUUAUUGUGAAGCUUGGGGACCUCCUCUGUAAAUAUCAGCAAGCAAAGGAGACUCAGAACCAGAAUCUCUAUGUCACUUUUUUGAAUGAGCUGCAAACUGUUCUGAAUGAAGUUGGCUGUACCAUGGAUGAUCUUUUGGGCAUACAUGUGGAGAAUAUUCUGGAUGACGUAGUAGUAUAUGCUGACAAGGUCGCACUGGUCCUUUUUGAUGUACUGAAUGGCCUGCCUGUUACUACAAAGAUUAUGGAAGUUGCAUGUGGGACAUUGGAAGAUGUUCUAGCAAAACUUAAAAGUAUCCUGGAUACCGUCCGCCAGACCAUUGAACAUUUUGUGAAUAAAUUGUGAGCUCAACUUCCUUAAAUGAGGAUAACAAUUACAACAAAUACAGCCUUCUCAACAGACCAUAAUUAUUCAAGAUCUGCCAUCAUCUGUUGAAUUUCUUGUAAUAAAGCAAAAAUUUAACUGUC